AACGCGAAGAACCUUACCCAGGCUUGACAUGCAGUAGACAGUACCAGAGAUGGUAUCUUCCGCAAGGACUGCUGCACAGGUGCUGCAUGGCUGUCGUCAGCUCGUGCCGUGAGGUGUUGGGUUAAGUCCCGCAACGAGCGCAACCCUUAUCAUUAGUUGCCAACACGUGAAGGUGGGAACUCUAAUGAGACUGCCCGGGUUAACCGGGAGGAAGGUGAGGAUGACGUCAAGUCCGCAUGGCCCUUAUGUCUGGGGCUACACACGUGCUACAAUGGUCGGUACAGAAGGCAGCGAAGCCGCGAGGUGAAGCAAAUCCAGAAAGCCGGCCCCAGUUCAGAUUGUAGUCUGCAACUCGACUACAUGAAGACGGAAUUGCUAGUAAUGGCGAGUCAGCAACAUCGCCGUGAAUACGUUCCCGGGCCUUGUA
rnacentral:rRNA from 1 species